rnacentral:misc_RNA from 1 species
UUUUUAUAUAAGUUGUCUGAGAAAAUUCAAUCAUCAAAAAUUUCCAACUCAAAUUUCAUUCUUAACAAUGGUACUCUCUUUUCCAUUAUAAUCAAACCCACAAAAAAAAAGAAUCAAAGAAUCCAAAUCAAACCCACAUAAGAGAGAGAAGACAAGAAUAUUAACAGUCGUUCUUGAAAACCCGUCGUAGCACACACUAUGACCCUCUGUUAUUAUUUUUUUAUCUGAAUCAUCUCCAAACUGAGUUCUUCAUCGACGGCACGGACUUCCAAAUCCUGAACUUCGAAAUUGAAUAUUAAAACUGACCAUUCACACAAACUAUAACU